GACGAACGCUGGCGGCGUGCUUAACACAUGCAAGUCGAAGCGGUAAAGGCCCUUUCGGGGGUACACGAGCGGCGAACGGGUGAGUAACACGUGGGUGACCUGCCCUCAGCUCUGGGAUAAGCCCUGGGAAACCGGGUCUAAUACUGGGAUAUGACUCCAUGACGCAUGUUGUGGGGNGGAAANCCUUGUGCGGCUUGAGGAUGGG
rnacentral:rRNA from 1 species